UACGAAGGGGGCUAGCGUUGCUCGGAAUCACUGGGCGUAAAGGGUGCGUAGGCGGGUCUUUAAGUCAGGGGUGAAAUCCUGGAGCUCAACUCCAGAACUGCCUUUGAUACUGAAGAUCUUGAGUUCGGGAGAGGUGAGUGGAACUGCGAGUGUAGAGGUGAAAUUCGUAGAUAUUCGCAAGAACACCAGUGGCGAAGGCGGCUCACUGGCCCGAUACUGACGCUAAGGCGCGAAAGCGUGGGGAGCGAACAGG
rnacentral:rRNA from 1 species